rnacentral:rRNA from 1 species
GACAGAGGGUGCAAACGUUGUUCGGAAUACUGGGCGUAAAGCGUGUGUAGGCGGUUCACUAAGUCGGAUGUGAAAGCCCUGGGCUCAACCCAGGAAGUGCACUCGAAACUGGCGAGCUAGAGUACUGGAGAGGUUGGUGGAAUUCUCGGUGUAGAGGUGAAAUUCGUAGAUAUCGAGAGGAACACCGGUGGCGAAGGCGGCCAACUGGACAGAUACUGACGCUGAGACACGAAGCGUGGGGAGCAA